rnacentral:rRNA from 1 species
AUUGAACGCUGGCGGCAUGCCUUACACAUGCAAGUCGAACGGCAGCGGGCCCUUCGGGGUGCCUGCGAGUUGGGGACGGGUGGGUAAUUCAUCGGAACGUACCCGGGUGCGGGGGCUAAGCGGACGACAGGCUGACUCAUACCGUAUUAACUCAUACGAGCAACGCGGGGGACCUUCGGACCUUGCGCCCUCGGAGGGGUCGAUGUCCGGUUUAGCUAGUUGGUGGGGUAAAGGCCCACCAAGGCGACGAUCGGUAGCCGGUCUGAGAGGAUGAUCAGCCACACUGGAACUGAGACACGGUCCAGACUCCUACGGGAGGCAGCAGUGGGGAAUCUUGGACAAUGGGCGCAAGCCUGAUCCAGCAAUGCCGCGUGGGUGAAGAAGGCCUUCGGGUUGUAAAGCCCUUUUGGUGGGGAAGAAAAGGGGCAGGCGAAUAGUCUGGCGUGAUGACGGUACCCAAAGAAGAAGCACCGGCUAACUACGUG